CAGCAAAUUGCGCGUCGACAUGUGAACUGCAGGACACAUGAACAUCGACAUUUCGAACGCACAUUGCGGUCCAUGGAUUCCGUUCCCGGACCACGCCUGGCUGAGGGUCGGUAGCUAAAA
rnacentral:rRNA from 3 species